AUUGAACGCUGGCGGCAGGCCUAACACAUGCAAGUCGAACGGUAGCACAGAGAGCUUGCUCUCGGGUGACGAGUGGCGGACGGGUGAGUAACGUCUGGGAAACUGCCCGAUGGAGGGGGAUAACUACUGGAAACGGUAGCUAAUACCGCAUAACGUCGCAAGACCAAAGUGGGGGAACUUCGGGCCUCACACCAUCGGAUGUGCCCAGAUGGGAUUAGCUAGUAGGUGGGGUAAUGGCUCACCUAGGCGACGAUCCCUAGCUGGUCUGAGAGGAUGACCAGCCACACUGGAACUGAGACACGGUCCAGACUCCUACGGGAGGCAGCAGUGGGGAAUAUUGCACAAUGGCGCAAGCCUGAUGCAGCCAUGCCGCGUGUAUGAAGAAGGCCUUCGGGUUGUAAAGUACUUUCAGCGGGGAGGAAGGCAGUGAAGUUAAUAACUUCACCGAUUGACGUUACCCGCAGAAGAAGCACCGGCUAACUCCGUGCCAGCCGCCGCGGUAA
rnacentral:rRNA from 1 species